rnacentral:tRNA from 1 species
GGAGAAAUACCCAAGUGGCCGAAGGGACCAGUUUCGAAAACUGGCAGAGGUGAAAGCCUGCGGGGGUUCGACUCCCUCUUUCUCCG